rnacentral:rRNA from 1 species
AGAGUUUGAUCCUGGCUCAGAUUGAACGCUGGCGGCAUGCUUUACACAUGCAAGUCGAACGGCAGCGGGGUAGUGCUUGCACUACUGCCGGCGAGUGGCGAACGGGUGAGUAAUAUAUCGGAACGUACCGAGUAAUGGGGGAUAACCAAUCGAAAGAUUGGCUAAUACCGCAUACGUCCUAAGGGAGAAAGCGGGGGAUCGCAAGACCUCGCGUUAUUCGAGCGGCCGAUAACUGAUUAGCUAGUUGGUGGGGUAAAGGCCUACCAAGGCGACGAUCAGUAGCGGGUCUGAGAGGACGAUCCGCCACACUGGGACUGAGACAC